UACGUAUGUCGCAAGCGUUAUCCGGAUUUAUUGGGCGUAAAGCGCGUCUAGGCGGUUUAUCAAGUCUGAUGUGAAAAUGCGGGGCUCAACCCCGUAUUGCGUUGGAAACUGCUAAACUAGAGUACGGGAGAGGAAGGCGGAACUACAAGUGUAGAGGUGAAAUUCGUAGAUAUUUGUAGGAAUGCCGAUGGGGAAGGCAGCCUGCUGGACAGACACUGACGCUGAGGCGCGAAAGCGAGGGGAGCAAACGGG
rnacentral:rRNA from 1 species